rnacentral:lncRNA from 1 species
UUUUAACGCACAUUUUAUUCCAGGGCCCUAGUUCUUAAUGCUUAAACUUGAUUAUGUCACUGAAAAUAUUCCUAUGGGAUAUAACAUCAGAAAAGAUAGCGCUUGUACACCACAACUCUAAAGUUGGUGGCGGGGGAAACGGGGAGACCUAGCACCCUUCUAGAAGAUUAAUCCACCAACAUUUCAAAAUCUUGUAAGGAGCUGCGACCCGCUAGGACGGGAGCCUACUGCGCCCUCAAACCCCGCGGCGGCUCCCUCCCCGGAGGGGGCGCGUGAGGCCACCACCCAGAGCCUCUUCCUAGAGGAGCCGGAAGCAUCGGGAGCCGCGGUACCCGCCCAUCUUCCGGCCAGGAUGUGUGGUCCUGGUGAGCGAUUGUCCUGUGGCGUCCGGGACCGAGUUUGUGGCCCAGGGUUAUGUGUGCACUUCACACCUCUGACUUUUUUCAGGGUUCCUAUUGAUGGUUAGGAGCAGGAUUUCGGGGAUGAAGGCGGCAGCAGCAAGAGGAGGCUGCGACUGCGGACCCCAGAUUCGUCCCCCUCCACCACACACAACGCCAAGACGGGCCCCAGGAGGGCGUGAAGAGAAGACUUCCUUUCCUCUCCUCUCGCCUCCUGGCGCUGGCCGUAUGAAGGUGUCUCCCAGAAGCAUUAGCAGAGGAGCCCUGUGGGAGAAAUGAGGAGUGACCCAAAAGAAACUUGCUCAAGGACAGCCUCCUUAAAGCAGACUUCCAUAUACCCCAACCUGCAAAAGAAGACUUUACGUGAAAUGUUACAGCCCAUAACAGCUGCAGCCUUGACUAUUAAAUCUCAAAGGGAAUAAAAAAGUCGCCUGACAGUUAAAGCAGAGGACUACACUUGGGGCCAAGAAUAUGGGCUACUUCAUAUGGAAGAACUCCAGCAACCGGGAGGUAGCUCAUCAGAACGUUAGGCAUUUCUGCUACCAGGAGACACCUGGACCCUGUAAGGCUGUGAGCUGAUUCUGGGAACUUUGCCAUCAGUGGCUGAGGCCAGAGACCCACACCAAAGAACAGAUCCUGGAAUUGCUGGUGCUGGAGCAGUUCUUGACUAUCCUGCCAGAGGAGCUCCAAGCCCGGAUGUUAGAGCAUCAGCCGGAGAACAGAGAGGAAAUGGUGAUCAUAUCGGAGGAUUUGGAAAGAGAGCUUGAUGAAACAGAAUAUCGGGUGUGAUUAAAAGGCACAUGAACACCCUAGCCAGAGAAAGAAGCAGCCAUACAUCCAGGGAAGCAAGGUUGCAGAGCUCAAUCUCCACUCCCUCCCGCUUGAUAUGUAAGUCUCUAUGUUUCGUACUCUCAUCCUUUCUGGUUAGCUCCUUACUUCUUAAGGGUGGAAGAAGACUGUGUCAGCAUUCUUUCUCUAUUCUAUGCCCUGAGAUGUGUUCUCUAAGAUGUCUUUUAAAGAUAGUAACUGUGGUUCCAUCAUUGAGUCUUUCACAAGCCCAGCCAUAUCUAAUUGUUCCCAAGUUGCAGCCAGUGCAUAUGGAAUGGGACUGCACUCAGAAUAUCAUCAUCAAGCAGCACAGGAGCCACCAACUAUUCCUUUCCAGCCAAUGAAAAGACAGCUUAAAUGGGAAUAUCCAGAAUUCCAGGCCAUUCAUGAGCAAGGUGAGCAUCACAGUCCAUCUCGAGAGAAAGGGAGUGGUUGAAAGCUCUGCCAGCUACCCAGGCUGAACAGCAUCAGGAGCAUCUCAGACAUAAUCCACCAUGCUGAAUCAGAUGGAAGGUCCAUCUCCUGAAGUACUACAUUCCAGCUUAUGUGGCACCAACAAGACCUGAUGCAGAAUGGCGUAAUGCUGUCCUCCCUCAUAUCAGCCUCAGCAGGAAGUUGUACACCAGCUUCCGUAAUUUCCUUUAAAAAGCUAUUCUAGGCCACUGUCAUUAAAAAAAUACCUUUACUUUUUUGUAAUAUUUUCAUAAUAUAUAAUUUCAUAGCCCAACCUCUACUACACACUUAGUGCUUUCUCUGUAAAGUAGAAUUUACUUUUUUGUCUUAAAAUUACCUUUUCUGAAUCCCCUGGAUCACCUAAAUCCAUUUUGUACCCUCUUUUCUGUUCCCUUUUAAUAGAAGCUACAUCAUUGACCUGAUGUUUUAGACUCAUCUAAACAUUUUUAUUCUUUAGUCCCUGUUGUCUUUAAUUCAAACAUUACACAUAAUUCUAAAAUAUCCCUUAGGUCAGUCAUCUUCAGUAUUACUUCCUCAUUGGACCCAUUACUUCCAGCUUCAGUAUGCUUGAAUUUGUCCUGACUCUCAAUAGAAACAAAUUAUUUUUCUCUUACCUGUCACUUUCCGCAUGCUAUCUUCAGACCUUCCACUCACUUUCAUCCUCCUCUACUUUUAACACUCAUUUUUACUCCCAUUGCUCAACACAACUCUCUUCUUGAUUGUUCCUUUAUUCUGUCUCUUCCUUUGCUCAGUGGUAUGGACUGAAUGUUUGUGGUCCCACCAACAACCCCUAAACAAUUUAUACAUUGAAGCCCUAACCUCCCAUGAGUUGGUAUUAUAGAUGGGGCCUUUGAGAGGUAAUUAGUUCUUGAGGGCAGGGCCCUGUAUGAUAGGAUUAAUGCCCUUUUAAAAGCAGUCACCAGAGAGCUUGAUAUUUCUCCUAUGUGCCCGUGAAGGUAAGGUCUUGUGAGCACAACAGCAAAAAGGUGAUCAUCUGAAAGCCAGAAGGAGAGCCCUCACCAGAAACCAACCAUGUUAGUACCCUGAUCUCAACCUCCAGAACUGUGAGAAAAUAAAUUUCUCUUAUUUAAACCACCAGUAUAGUAUUUUGUUAUGGCAGCCCAACUUAACACCACUUCAUGUCCCAAUUCUGUGGCAAUAAUGUGCAUGAGAGGUCUCCUUCCAUUUACCAGCUAUCUUAUUCCUUGCCUACAAGGAAUAUAUUCUUACAGAUAUCACAAACAGGGAAGACAGUUAUCUGCAUGGGACAUAGCUUGCUUGCUUAAAGAAAAGGACAGAAGUUUAGUACUAGUGAAGAACCAUUUACAUUUUCUAAGGGCCAUUUUUUCACAGAAAACCAUUGUGGGCUCCCAAAAGUACAAGUAACCCAAUUUAGUAUUUUAUUCAAAGUGAAACAUACACUUAGGAAUAGAAUUCAUGAAAAAUUUUACAAAUAUAAGAUGCAUACUCCAUUCACAGUGGCUAUAUCCUAGAAAAUCCCUAAGUAUUACUCUGUACUAUAUUUUUUUCCUUAAUUUGGGGAAACUUUAGUUACUGAGAUUAUACCCUUGAGAUACGGAGAUCUUUAUGAUUCAAGACGCAGACUUAACUAGCCUAGUUUUCCUUUUCUUUAUUCUGGCUCCGCAUCUUCCAAAUGAGUCUAGUUGGAAACUCUUACCCCUUAGUUUCCUCCCAGUCAGCACCAGUUUAGGGGAGUUAAGGAAUUAUUUUUCAUUUCCAGCUCUGGCUCUAAAUAAUGUGUCUCCAGCAGUGAAAUGUAGGCCAAGAUAGCUCUCUGAUAUGUAGCUCCUAUAAAGGAACCCACUUCUCAGAAGCAUUGGAAAAGGCAAAUUAUGAAGGUUCAUAAUACAAUAUAAUAAAAAUUCUUUAGUCAUCCACUAUUACAGAUACUAAGCCAAAUUUUAAAUUCAUACUGUAUAACAAAUUUGAAUUUAGAAAUAAUUCCUCUUUAUUCUUUUCAUUUCAACCCAAGGUUACUUACUGAUAUAGUUCAGAUAUGUGUCUCCACUCAAAUCUCAUGUUGAAUUGUAAUCCCCAAUAUUGGAGAUAGGGCCUGGUGGGAGGUGACUGGAUCAUGGAAGUGGAUCCUUCAUGAAUGGUUUAGCACCACCUUCUUGGUACUGUUCUCCUGAUACUGAAUUCUUGUGUGAUCUCGUUGUUUACAAGUGUGUGGCAUCUCUCCCUUCUCUCUCUUGCUCUUGCUCCUGCCAUGUAAGAAUCCUGCUCUCCCUCUGCCUUCUGCCAUAAUUGUAAGUUUUCUGAGGCCUCCUCAGAAGCCAAGCAGAUACCAGCAUCAUGCUUCCUGUACAGCCUACAGAACCAUGAGCCAAGUAAACCUCUUUUCUUUAUAAAUUA